ACACUGCGCCCUUCACACAUACAAUACGUCCAAAUAUAAUAUAUAUAUAUAUAUAUAUAUAUAUAUAUGUGUGUGUUUGGACGUAUUGUAUGUGUGAAGGGUGCAGCAU
rnacentral:pre_miRNA from 1 species